CCACAAGCCAACAGGCAGAAACGUAAUCCGAUAUUGUAGCCAGGAACAGAAGGAGGUCCGAAACCAGGAAAACAGAGAGUGAAGUACCACAGGAAAACACAGAAGCAAAAGUCAAAAUGGCAAGCCAGAGUCGAAAGCAGAAAUACUGUAAUCACAGGGCACAGUCCAGGGGCAAUCCAGAAAAACACAGCGAAAACAAGCACAGGAAGCUGAGGCAAGCUCUCCAUUUCUCCUCACGUCAGGAGCCAGAGACAGGAGUGAAAGAUGGGAUUCCCAGCAGAUAAGUGCUUCCUGAGCUCACGAGAGGAAAGUAAAAAAAUAUAUAUUUUGCAUUCAGCCAUCACUCCUCUUGACUGUAACUGUACAAGAUCAGCAAGUGGAAACAGUCAAGCACCAAAGUCUCCAUCUUAAUGACACAUUACUCUAAUUUUCUGUGUCAGUGCUUUAUUAAUCUCGUGUCUUGUAGUCCAACAGAUGGCCAC
rnacentral:lncRNA from 1 species